UCAAAACUUUCAACAACGGAUCUCUUGGUUCUGGCAUCGAUGAAGAACGCAGCGAAAUGCGAUAAGUAAUGUGAAUUGCAGAAUUCAGUGAAUCAUCGAAUCUUUGAACGCACAUUGCGCCCGCCAGUAUUCUGGCGGGCAUGCCUGUUCGAGCGUCAUU
rnacentral:rRNA from 1 species